UGGGGAAUUGUUCGCAAUGGGCGAAAGCCUGACGACGCAACGCCGCGUGGAGGAUGAAGACCUUCGGGUCGUAAACUCCUUUCGACCGAGAAGAAUGGCCUACGACUUCAUACGUCGUAGGCAUGACGGUAUCGAGGGAAGAAGCCCCGGCUACCUCUGUGCCAGCAGCCGCGGUAAUACGAAGGGGGCUAGCGUUGUUCGGAAUUACUGGGCGUAAAGGGCGCGUAGGCGGUCCUGAUCGUCGGAUGUGAAAGGCCUGGGCUCAACCUGGGAACUGCAUCCGAUACGGCGGGACUGGAGUGUGGGAGAGGUUGGUGGAAUUCCCAGUGUAGAGGUGAAAUUCGUAGAUAUUGGGAAGAACACCGGUGGCGAAGGCGGCCAACUGGACCACAACUGACGCUGAGGCGCGAAAGCGUGGGGAGCAAA
rnacentral:rRNA from 1 species